AAAAUCUGAAAAUCAUGAUUUGAGUCUUUGACUAUUUCAAUUUGAGUCUAAUUAUCAAUAUAUAUUUGGGCAAUUGGCCAAUUGAAUUCAUUGAUACAAGCAACUAAGCAAGGAGACAAUAACUGCAAUUUGAGUCUUUGACUAUUUCAAUCUAAUUAGUCUGAUUAUCAUUAUAUAUAUGGGCAAUUGACCAAUUGAAUUCAUUGAUACAAUCAACUAACUAGCAAGGAGCCAAUAACAGAUUGAAUUGAUCUGUUAGUCUCCAUCAAUGGAUAAAUUUGUCACCAAAGUUAAGCGUACAACAGUGGAGUCAUCUUCACCCAUGACAUCAAAGAAAGGUCGUGUGGAGAUCGAUUAUGAAAAUCUUCCUACAGACCCGGGGUUACGAUGUUCAAUAUGGGAUUAUGGCCCUAAUGAUAUAGAUUGCGUUAGGCGUUCAUACUUACAGAAGGGUCCUUGUCAACCCAUUUGCCAUGAAUUUCCACAAACCCUUAUGAUGGAUGAAUUAAGAAGGUUCAAUAAAGAUUGGUUUGAACAAUAUUCUGAUUGGUUGGAGUACAGUGUAGCAAAGGAUGCAGCAUAUUGCCUCUAUUGUUAUCUUUUCAAACCCAAAAGCAAUCAAGGUGGUGGAGAUGUAUUUG